rnacentral:rRNA from 1 species
ACGGGAGGCAGCAGUGGGGGAUAUUGCACAAUGGGCGAAAGCCUGAUGCAGCGACGCCGCGUGAGGGAAGACGGCCUUCGGGUUGUAAACCUCUGUCUUUGGGGACGAUAAUGACGGUACCCAAGGAGGAAGCUCCGGCUAACUACGUGCCAGCAGCCGCGGUAAUACGUAGGGAGCGAGCGUUGUCCGGAAUUACUGGGUGUAAAGGGAGCGUAGGCGGGAGUGCAAGUUGGAUGUGAAAACCAUGGGCUCAACCCAUGGACUGCAUUCAAAACUGUAUUUCUUGAGUGAUGUAGAGGCAGGCGGAAUUCCUAGUGUAGCGGUGAAAUGCGUAGAUAUUAGGAGGAACACCAGUGGCGAAGGCGGCCUGCUGGGCAUUUACUGACGCUGAGGCUCGAAAGUGUGGGGAGCAAACAGGAUUAGAUACCCUGGUA